rnacentral:sRNA from 1 species
UUGGAACAGGGAAAGUCUUAAUGGCUUC